CGCAUGGAAGUUGUGGGGAAACAAUCCUCAUUUUACAAAACUCACGAUCCGGAGACGUGUAAGUUAGAAAGGUUUUAAUUUUGGAAAGGUUUUAUAAAGAACCGUUGGAAUUGGGAAGCCAAAAGGUUUGGGUCGGUGUAUUUGCGCAUAAAAUAUACGUUACGUUCUCCACUCUUCCUGCUUCACUUCACUCAUCCCGCUUCGUUCUCCAAACGCCGUCGGAGACAACUCAUCGCCACCUCUGUAACUCAGCUCACCGGAGACACAAGCACCCCCACCCUUCGAAACAAUGAGGAAUCAGACUUGUACUUAGAGCCAUCCUUCACCUAUAUAUAGAACUCGAAACUAUACCCAUCUCUUCUCAACCUGAUUUUAUGCCAGCAUGGUUCCGGUUAUUCAAUAAAGAAUUUGUACACAAUGUAUCCUUUGAUCAUCUAUUACAUAAAUUCCAUUCAUUACUCUGCAACAAGACAAGGUUUCAGAAACCAAAUACAAAACUUGUGGUUUAGAAAAGGAAAAGAAGAUGCCCCCAUGAAUCAAAGUGUUAACAUGUACACUUUUAGGUCCAUUGAAUCUCAAAUACCUUGCUUUAUCAAAUUACUGCCUUCAAUCCACUGAUUAGAAUUUACAAGUUGACAAAGUAUGGAAAUGAUAUACAUGUGUACAGGAAAUGAUGUGCUUAUUUUCAUAAAAAGAUGCUAAAUAUUGCAUGGAAAAUGCCUUCAACACUCAUUUAGUACGCCUGCAAAUUGAGACAUCAGGGAAGAGAAAUGCCACAUGGUGGUGGUCUUUGGUGGGUUGAAAUGUUAGAAACAAGUGGUGAAUAUAAAGAAGGUGAAGGAACCUCUUAGUUCAGCUAUGAUGCUGAACAAGCAUCUUAUUGCUGUUACCAUUUAGCCAAACCAAUUAUAUUAAGAAAGUAUGGAUUUUAUCUCAUUCUUUCUGAUGGUCUAUACAAGAAAUGCUAUCAGGUAUCGCAAAUUCUGUUAAUAUUUUAAUUGAUAAUUUUGUUUUACUAUUAGUAUUUAAUAGAUAAUUUUCUUUAAUAUUUACUUAUAAUAGCAAUGUAUUUAUAGCUUUUCAUCCAAAAACAACAAUUAUUAACUUGAAUAAACAUCAUAUGCCAAGUGCAAUUGUGUUGGUCAAUGCUUUAUGUAUGGUAUGAUAGAUUUUUUUUUUACAUUUGUUGGCAAGCAACUUAAGGCAUAAUAAUAGUGUAUAUCCAUCUGGAUUAUAGGUCAUAUCUUGGAUUCAAUGUGAGUAUGUAGUCUGCUUUCUAAAAACUCUGGAUGAAUUUAGUUUAAUAGAAGAAGAUUGUCAAAUAAGACAAGAGUAGUUGAUACAUAUGUUUCACACACAUGGGAUUAAUUUUUCCUAAAUCAAUGUACAUUUUUUUAUUGUUCCAUGGUUUGUUUUUUUAUCAACUAUAGAUUUCAUGUUCAUAUAUACACUCUUAAUGUAAACCCUAUGGCCUCUACAUUUCAUCACCAUAGUUACUGAUUUUGUUGUUGUGAUAGUUAAGGGUAAAACAAGGGUACAAUAGUGUUCUUCCAGAGAAAUUGAAGACAGGAAAUUGGUACCUUACAAUUUACAUCAUAAUUUUGUGUACUAAUACUUUCUUCACUGAAAUUGUAUAUAUUUGAAAAAAAAAACAUCACUAAUUUGCUUCCACAAUAGGUAUGCAUCUGAAACCUUCUGAGAUUACUAGUAGAUGGAGUUAUUUUUGGAGGAGAGUAUAUUGAGUGGUUUAUUAUUUUUUAAGGCAGAUUGGGUACAAAACAUAUACUUUAUUUUUUAAGGCAGAUUAGGCAUGUCACUUGUAUACUAGUUUAAUACUUGUUGGUUUUGUACCUUUCCAAAGAAAAUAAAGUUCAUGACAAAACAACUCUUUCUUUUUGGCUUACUUGCUAUAUUUUCAUUGGUGUAAGUCAACAGCUUGAACUUGUUGGAUGACAUGGCAAAACUGAGUUCAACCUACUGAGUUACACGAUUAUAUAACAGAGCAUAUGACGGUGUUAUGAAUGCAGUGAAGAGGCAAAAGCAUUAUUUAAAUUAAAGGAGAUUAUACCUCAAAACAUUUACUUAUAUGAAUGAGAAGGAUGGAUGUCCUCUUGGGUCAUGUAGGCCCCCCUAACCCUACUUGUGAUCAUCAGAAGACACGAAUGUAUUUCCUAUGAAUAACUUUCAAGAUCCUCUUCAAAAGAAAAUUUUCUUCAUUGGAGCUUCCAACAAAGAUCUCUCUCUCUCUCUCUCUCUCUCUCUCUUGUGAAUGGAACACCUUCAUCUUCAUUCAGAGGCUCUCCCUCUGAUAACAAUCAGAAGAUACUUGUUAUAGUUACUACUUUAGAAGACAAUCAUUUGGGCAGCAUGCAGCAAAACAGCAGGCAGAGGCCUUGUAGAUGGAUGGUCAAAGUCAAAGUCAAGGUAAAAAGGAAGGAGGAGAAAUAUUUCGGCUUCCAAAGACCACCAGCCUCUUGAAAUGGCCCCCAUUGAUCCCCCCCCCCCCCCCCCCCCCCAACCCAAAUAGUUCCCACUUCCCAAAGAGUCACUGAGUACCCUCUGACCCUCUUGAGGAUAACCGCAGCAGUCAAGAGCAACUAGAAAUCUGGAGAAAAAGCUAAAUGACUAUAUACGAUGCCAAGGUAAAUCUGAUACGAUAUUUGUUACUUAGUUGCAGUUUCAAUUCUUAUGCAGAAGAUGGAAAAGUGAAACGUGGUUACUUUGUUCAGACAUGGAGAUCGUUGCUGCAUUCCAAUGAGUCGGAAAGCUUUGACAUGAGAAGUCACAGCCACUCCAUCAGUAAAAUUCUAUUUUUAUUGGAUAUCUCUUUCUACAGUUUAUAUGACUUUCAACCAUGAGUCCAAGUUUGUGCAAUUUAUGGGAAUAAUAAUUAUCAGUUACAUAAUGGCCAUUCACCAGCUCGGCCUCAUAUGAUGUUUUGGAUUCACAGGUGUAUUAAUUAGCUCAAGGUUACAUUGAUGUGGAAUAAGGAGAUGCAUACCACUAAGAGGUAAUUUAUGAUUUCCUUUGGUUAAUAAAAGAAAAUUAUUCAAACCUAGAACAUCUAGAAAACUAUGAUACAUAAGCAAACAUGCUUUUUGUAAUACAUGCAUUUUUUUUAGGCACAUAAGAAAUUUAUGAUCUAGAUAAAUAUCUAUUUAUUCCUAAAUUUAAUUACCUAUUAUGACAUUAAUUAAUACGUAUAGUGGUUUUACUUUUACAUAGUUCAUAAACAGUCUUCCAAUUUGUCAUCUAUAGCAUGUACUAACAAUUUCCUUUGUUAUGAUUCCUUAUCCCAUCUAAACCUCACUGCAUUUCAGUAAUAUUGUUUUUCAAGAAAAUAACCUCAGGUGUUUAACACUAAAUUUUUCGUUUUUCAUGUUUUUUUUUACCCUUUUUGCUUAAAUUAUUCACCUU